ACGAAUGUCAAAAUUAUUUUACAAACAAAAUAAAUCGAGACUCAAUGACCCCACAACAAAUAAUGGCCUAAAUACAAAAAACUCAAAUAUUAUUAAUUAAAUCAUCCAAUACAAUCAUUCAUCAUCUUUAGAAUCAACUAUCUAAAAGAACAGUUUGUACUACUGAAGAAACUAGAUGAAGAACUUCAAACUUAUUAAACCAAGCUUUACUAGCUAUAUAUGCAUCAUCUUGGCAAUGAUUCUGGACAAUAAUUGGGGCUAACCUUCCUCAAGAAGUAGAGCUGCUUCCUCAACAAGUCCCUUCUCAACCCUGAUGUAGAUAACAAAAAUGUAAGACACGUUUAAGGGCAUUUUUAUAUCAUACUAUAUAUUUUAUUUUUGAAAAUAAAAAUUAUGUAAGUUUUACCCACUUAAUAAGCAUUUACACUCCAUUUUUUUUGUUAGUUUAAAACUUAUACAUUUAUACACACCCCCACCCCAACUUGCCACUGGUCCACAACACAAGCUCAUUAUACUUCAACAAGUAUAGACCAUUCUUAUUGAGCUAUAUAUAUAUAUAUAUAUAUAUAUAUAUAUAUAUAUAUAUAUAUAUAUAUAUAUACAUAUAUAUAACCAAUGCUUCAAAUUUUGGAUUGGAUACCACAAGAUUGGAUGACUCAUUGGUUCAACCAAUAGUUAAAGCUUAAUAAAACUAUAAUCACCAUAGACAAGCACAAAAAUCACCAAGACCUGGAUAACACCUACUUUACCUAAAACAGACAAACUUGCAUAAACAAGCAAACAAAAUCAGCUAGUGAUUUCUCAGCUUUUCUGAAUGACACAAAUUAGCAAAAUUAGUACAUCAUUGGACAAUGGACAUAAAUCAUAUCUAGAAGAUGAAAAAGCUUUGUUUUCCCAAUCAAAUCAUGUUUCCCAUUGAUAUUGAAGUUAAAGCAUUCUAUAAUUAAAGGAUUGUCCUGCAUCAAUGAAACAAAAAGAUGAAGGAAAUGAAAAUUGCUGAGAAGCUAGAAAUAGAAAAUUUAGUAAAAGCAUCAUUCCAGGAAAACACCAAAGCAUGUGAUUGCAAAAAAUGGACUACUAAUAAAUGGUUUAUGACAGAGCUUCCUAUGAACCCAGUUCAUAACUUCUAGCCUCAAAUUUUUAAUUUUUUCUUUUUUAUUUUUGGGUUGGGGGGUGUGGUUUGUUGCAUGAGCCUCUAUAGAAAAAUUACAGGUUCCACGCUGAAAAGAUCUAUGUGUAAAUGCAUGUGUGAGCCCCCAUACAAAAGCAUUUGCUUAUACCUAAGGUUAUGUUAAUGUUUUUGACAUCCAGAAAGUGAUUCCUAUAAUCCUAUUGUCAACUCCCACUAGUAAAGAUAAAGCACUACAUAUGUAAAUUUGUCAAGAAAGGAGAAGAACUUCAACCAGAAAAAUCAAAAGGAUCAAAAGAAUCGAAUUCCUGAUGAAGAACUUAAUUAGAAAUUAAUUGCAAGAAACUUAUAGGGCAUGAAGAAUAAAGAUGAAACUGUUUCAUGGCUAGAAUCAUGGAAUAUCACAGUAGUGUUUCAUUUAUAAUAUAUGACCUUAGCCUUUUAAAAUCUACUUUCUAAGAGAAAUUAAUUCUUUCCUUAUAUGAAUGAUGCUAAUUACUUAUUUUGGACUAAAGAGAUAAAAUGGAAUCAAGUUCCUAUUAACAACAUUCUAAUCACUCAAUAUGUCUCUCAUUUAACAAAUGCCUAUUCUAGGAAAAACUGAAUAUUGGAAAUAAUAAAAGAAAUGGACAAUUACCAGAAGCCAGAGGCCCUUUAAAAAAUAAGCCCGGAAUAUGGAAAUGUCAAUUCUAAUCCCAAUUUGUUCAAACUAUGUGCCAAAGUAUACGAUUCCAACGAGAUUGUCCCCUUCUUAGAAUUUGCUAUGAACCUUCUUAAGGGAAACACCAGCACAAAGGUCACACAUAUCUUCCGUAACUACCUACAUUAGUAGAUUCACAUUACUGAAAACCAAUAUAACAUUAAAUGAAUUCAUACUCUGGGAAUUUUGUUUUGAAGUAAAAUUGAAUAAGCAAAAAAUAGGAAAAGCAAGGGCAACAAAUGCCUUGUAAAGGACAACCAAGUAACCAAUAUGGAUUUAAAAUCAAAGGUGAACUAUAUUCUUUUUAUUCUACAGAUUAACAGACCUAGGAAACUAGGUGACAUAAUGUAUCUUGCAGUUACAACAAAGUAUAUCAUUCUUUUCUUAAAAAUAGUUUGUAUGACCCAUGCCCUUAUUGAAAAUACAGAUAGAAGAAUAUAUCAAGACUAAACCAAGAUGAAUUUGUGUAUCAAGUAACAAAAAACUAUUUAUUACUGCACGGAUGCAAUUUGAUUUUCUUCUGCUAUAAAUUUAGAAUACCGUUUGUUCCUACUUCUGUUUGCAAACAUGGAAGAGAGACCAAGAUAUGUAAUAUACUUUUUCAUUUUCAUUUUCGCUUCAUUGAAAUCAAGGGAAGAAAGAGAGGGGAAGUCAAUAAACAGGAAUGUUAACUUGCCAAUCCUGGAAUAUUUGCAGGGUCGAUGAUCCACAUCUGUUUGCUGUGUAAAUAACAAAUAAAAUGAUGUUCAUUAGACGUAAUCCACUUAAUACUGUGGAAGAGCCAUGUGAUAUCUAAAAUAAGUAUUAAACAGUACCCAUCAUGCUAAAUCUUAGCACUACUUGGAUAAAGUGGCUGGUCGUUGACUCAAACCUGAGUUUGCAUGCUUAGUAGCUCAAGCUUUACUAUCAUAUUUUAGAAUAUAUCAGAAAUAUCUAAUUUUAAGUGAAGAAUUCAUGUGCACUUUAUCACUAAUUUGCUUCAACAACAUUACCAUAAGCAUCACCAAUAAUACAAACUCUACGAGGUAAAUUAUGCAUAGGGUUAUUUCUAAAUAACACCCUCUAAAAAAUUUAUCCAGAGGAAAAUAAUUAAUGAUGAAUUUGAAGUUUUGAAUUGGUUGGUUAGUUGUUUGUAAAUUAACAUAACACUUUGCCAUCUUCCCUAUGUAUCGACUUUACUUUUUAGGGGGACAUACAUAACUUGAUUAUCGUUGAGAUCCCAUUUCUGACAACAAUGUAAAUUCUAAAAUACUUUUAGUGCAGUACUGCACCUUUGAUGAUGAGCUCAUAAAAGCAUGGUACACCAAGUAGAAAACUGAGCCAGCAACUGCCCCAGCCUAAUCCAAGAUGAAUUUGUGCAUCAAGUAGCAACAUGAUGGCUAUCAAUUAAAUUAUAGAAAACCAAAGUAAAUUCUCUCUUUAAUCUUAAAGAAAAUUAAUAAUAAGAGAAAAUCUACACAAUUGAGUUAAAAUUAACCAGGCAUUAACAAACAGUUGACUCUCCAGUUUGUGAGGUUCUCUCAUUCGCAAAAAAACAAUAAGUGCUUUAGAUCAUAAACUUCCAUUCACCACUCAUCAAUACUUUUUAAUAAUGAAUAAGGAAAUAUAUGUUGCUAGACUGAUAUACUGAGUUAUACCCAAUACCUAGCAUGCACCAUUUGUUUCCAGAUGUUGAUAACGUAUAAUCAAAUCAAAAGCUCAUCAUAAAGAUACGGACAAACAAAUUGUGCUCCGAAACCUCUCCCUGCAUAAAGAGAUAACGUUAGUCAAAACAGCUCCUAGCAAGAAAUGAUACAUCAAGUUCCAAUUGUCUACAUAUUUGCAUUUAUAACCAGAAAACACAAAGAUGAAACUGAGAAUUAAAAUGAAAUUUAUAUGAUUUUUGUUCAAAUGUCAUCAUAUAAGAUUAUGUUUAUGAGGUUGAUAUGACAUUGAAAGAGCUGAUUAGUUUCAUCUAUCCACCCCCAAAGAAGAAAAGGGACACAUAUAAACCACACUCCACACACACUAAAAAUAAAAACAGCAAGUCACCUUCUUCUCAAUAUAACUAGCAUUGGUUUAUAACUAAAAUUAGAAACAACAAUGUAGACAGUUUCACAACAAAAUUUCAUAUAAACAUAAAUAAUGAAACCAUCACAUAUCACAUACUAAAUUAAAGCCUCCACAUCAGAUGAACCAAUUACAAAUUCAAGAUUUUAAGAAAUUAGUUCAACUAUAUGAUGAUCACAAACACAAUAGAAUUAGAACAUUUUCAAAGUUCAUAAAAAAGAUUCCAGGAAUACCCACAAGUUAUGGAUCACUAGAAUAGGGUCAACUGAAAAUUCGAAAAGCAUAAAACAAUAAAGAACUAAUAGACUCAAUAGAUGAACAAAAAAACCAAACAAAUAGGGAUUGAUUCUAACAAAUCACCAAAUAAAACAAGAAACGCCAUAAAAUCAUCAAAACAACACAUUACAUUCCAAUCUAACUGAAAAAGUGACAGAAUUUAGAAAUGGGUAGAGUAAAAUUAAGAUUAAAUAUACUUUCAAUUGGGUUCAUAAGUAUCACACACAUACCUAAACAGAUAGAACAAAGGGGUUUAUACCUAGAGUUCGGCACUAGACGACCUGGAAAUUGGCCUUUUCAUAUCAUCCUUCUCCUUGUUAGCUGUGGCCGCUGUAGCCAUCGCGGUCGUCUUUUCAACCAGUAGCCCCUUCUCGCCUUUUCCAGCCAUUUUUCCCGGUUAAAAUCGAAUACCCAAGUUUGCUAUGAUAAGCAAAACAAUCAAACAGAUAGAUAUGUGUACACAGUAAGAGAGAGACAAUUAAUCGAAAUUUUAAGAAUUAGUGAUGCGUUUGUUUAGCAAAUUUACAUUAGAAAAUCAGAAACAUAGAUAUACAUAUAGAGAGAGGAAGAUGGAGGAACCUGAGAGUUUGGUAAACAGAAGAGGCGACGAAUGAGAGGAAUAGAAGUAAAAGCAGGUUUUCGAAUUGUUUUG
rnacentral:lncRNA from 1 species